rnacentral:rRNA from 1 species
GAACGCAAAGGCAAGCGGGACAUUUGAGGAUGGGGUGACUGCGUACCUUUUGUAUAAUGGGUCAGCGACUUAUAUUCUGUAGCAAGGUUAACCGUAUAGGGGAGCCGUAGGGAAACCGAGUCUUAACUGGGCGAAUGAGUUGCAGGGUAUAGACCCGAAACCCGGUGAUCUAUCCAUGGGCAGGUUGAAGGUUGGGUAACACUAACUGGAGGACCGAACCGACUAAUGUUGAAAAAUUAGCGGAUGACUUGUGGAUGGGGGUGAAAGGCCAAUCAAACCGGGAGAUAGCUGGUUCUCCCCGAAAGCUAUUUAGGUAGCGCCUCGUGAACUCAUCUUCGGGGGUAGAGCACUGUUUCGACUAGGGGGUCAUCCCGACUUACCAACUCGAUGCAAACUGCGAAUACCGAAGAAUGUUAUCACGGGAGACACACGGCGGGUGCUAACGUCCGUCGUGAAGAGGGAAACAACCCAGACCGCCAGCUAAGGUCCCAAAGUCAUGGUUAAGUGGGAAACGAAGUGGGAAGGCUCAGACAGCCAGGAUGUUGGCUUAGAAGCAGCCAUCAUUUAAAGAAAGCGUAAUAGCUCACUGGUCGAGUCGGCCCGCGCGGAAGAUGUAACGGGGCUAAACCAUGCACCGAAGCUGCGGCAGCGACACAAAGUGUUGUUGGGUAGGGGAGCGUUCUGUAAGCCUGCGAAGGUGUACUGUGAGGUAUGCUGGAGGUAUCAGAAGUGCGAAUGCUGACAUAAGUAACGAUAAUGCGGGUGAAAAACCCGCACGCCGGAAGACCAAGGGUUCCUGUCCAACGUUAAUCGGGGCAGGGUGAGUCGACCCCUAAGGCGAGGCUGAAAAGCGUAGUCGAUGGGAAACGGGUUAAUAUUCCCGUACUGGUGGUAACUGCGAUGGGGGAACGGAGAAGG